GACGAACGCUGGCGGCGUGCUUAACACAUGCAAGUCGAACGGAAAGGCCCUGCUUUUGUGGGGUGCUCGAGUGGCGAACGGGUGAGUAACACGUGAGUAACCUGCCCUUGACUUUGGGAUAACUUCAGGAAACUGGGGCUAAUACCGGAUAGGAGCUCCUGCUGCAUGGGGGGGGUUGGAAAGUUUCGGCGGUGGGGGAUGGACUCGCGGCUUAUCAGCUUGUUGGUGGGGUAGUGGCUUACCAAGGCUUUGACGGGUAGCCGGCCUGGGGGGGUGACCGGCCACAUUGGGACUGAGAUACGGCCCAGACUCCUACGGGAGGCAGCAGUGGGGAAUAUUGCACAAUGGGCGGAAGCCUGAUGCAGCAACGCCGCGUGCGGGAUGCCGGCCUUCGGGUUGUAAACCGCUUUCGCCUGUGACGAAGCGUGAGUGACGGUAAUGGGUAAAGAAGCACCGGCUAACUACGUG
rnacentral:rRNA from 1 species